GAAGUAAAUAAAAAUGAACUUCUAAUUCAUUAUUUUAUGGAAAUUUAAAACCAUAUUACUUCU
rnacentral:tRNA from 1 species